CAUGGGAGAAAUUUAUAGCUGAAGCAUUUACUUCUGUAAAGGCUACAUAUGUUGGUGGAAUUCAAGCCUAUUCUUCAAAGAAUGUUGUGUGAUUAUAUAUUUUGGCAUGUCUGGUCACGGCUUUUACGGGCUCCAAGACCUCCAACCCUGCCUCUCUCACAGGUAUCUAUUUAAGCUCACUCAAUGAAGCGCAUUUCACGUUCUCAGUUGAAUACUUGAAUGGCACCGCGCAUUCAAGUAAUCAUACCGGCCGAAGCUGAACAUUAUGGGGAACAUGAAUUUAUGAGUCCUGAAGACAUACUUGAAUGUUUGAAAUUGAAUCUUGGGAAUAACGUCUGCCCAAGUGUUCUUUUGGAAUUGGCUGAGGAGUUUGAUGUUACUCCUAGAUUACUUGAAUCAGAAGAGGCUGCUUUCCUUGUUCCAUAUUACAACUUAGUGACUGAAAUCAAAAGGCUUAUUGGUAUCGAUGACAAGGAUCAGUUUGCCUCUUUCCUGAUAGCCAACCGUGAGUUGGUGCAGAAAUAUUCUCCAGUUAAGGUUUUCCAGUUGAUCUGCCAGCAUUCUGCUGCUGCUUGUGCUACUGCACUGCUUGAAUCUGGACUUGAUGUGGAUGUAAAUUUGCAAUUUAAAUAUACGGGAAAAUCCCCUUUGUUCAUGGCGGCUAGGAACUUAUCUUAUGGCAUGACUAAGGUUCUUUUAGAUCAUGGAGCUGACGCUGAUCUUUCUUUUAGUGGUUUUGGCACCCCACUUUGGAAUGCUGUAGAUGCAUUCAGAAAGAACCCAUUGAUACUAUCAGACUGCUGGCGUCACAUAGUCAUCAAGUCAAGGAUCUUUGCAUUGCUUUGAUAAAUAGUAGUUCUGCCCAAAAAUAUGCUGUAUUAUUGUUGGUUGCUUGGGAUAUGCUCAUGGUCUCGUCUGCUGAGGGGGACCUAGAGACCACCCCAGUUGGGCAACACAUAUUUCGGGGGCUAAGAAAUGUAUCAUACCUGCAUGAGAUAUGUGGUGUCACUUGCGAAUUUUGGGAUAAGUUCCAAUUGAAAUGAAUAUGAAAAGGGCGGUGAAGAAUUUGACGAUAGCAUGGUAUGUGGUCAAAACUAUGUCGAUGACUAGAGGUGUCAUUGAGCGCUAAUUUCACUCAAGGGUUGCCCAGCCACCGAAAACCCCUCCCCAGCCACCGAUAACCCCUCCCCACCCUCGAAAUUGGCGAAGCCCAGCCACGAAAUCGGCGACGCCUAGCCACGAAAUCGGCCACAAACGACCGAAAUCGGCCGGUUUAGGGUAUUCAGCCCCAACAUCGGCCAUUUUCGGCCAAUAUCGGCCAUUUUUGGCCAUCGGUGGUGCUGGUUUGGUGUGCGUCGGUGGUGUUCGUGUGGUGGUGGGUGUGGUGUUCGUGUGGUGGGGGUGCUGUUGGGUUGUUCUUAUUAUUUAUUACAUAUUCAGUUAAAAGUUGCCAACCCUUUAUGUUUAGUGGAUCCUAGUCACCCAAACUUUUAUUUUAUUCUCGGUACUGGGGCAUACCGUGUAUUGACAAAGGCGAAUUAUGACACAAUUGUUAAUAUUUGGCCCAAUUAAACAAAUUAUGCAGUGGAUUGCAUAUCGUACCGAAUUUUAUACCAGUCCUUUUUUCUCUCACAAUCCGUACACUUUCUAUUAUUAGUAUUCCUUUUAAUAUCCACUUUAAUUUUUUUAAAAUGUAGUGUACCACUUUUUUUGCUCAUCCCUACUAUAUUCUUAAUGCUUGAAUGCCUAGCCGGAAGAUAAAUAUAGGAUGGAAGGAAUAUAUUUCAAUUUUUUAAGUGCUUUUUUGUUGUACAUUUGGAAUGUCUCUUUUUCCUGGGCAAGGAGUUCAACUUACCAGAUCCCAUCUGUGUUAAAUUGUGAAAACUUAAAAUAGGGACAUUUAUGUCCACAAGAGUGUGGAUAAGUGUUGGUUCCCUUUAGAGCUGUAUGACUGUAUCCUAAGCUGCAUUUACGGAAACUUAACAGAAUACUAGCCUCAGGCCCUCAGGUAAACCUUCUCAGUAUUUUGUAUUUAUCUUCUUUAUAUCUUCUUUCUCUUACAUCCUUGAUUUUACUUUUGUUUGGUUUGCAAACUUAACUAACUACCCUUAAGCCUAAAGCACAUUGUUGUUUUUUAUGUUUAAAGCCUCCUUCAAUAAUUUGCUAUAAGCUACUUGAUGUUAUAUUGUUUUGAGGUUGUUUUCAGGAGUCUGUGUGGUUUUAAGCAGUGGUAGUUUCUGCGGGUUAUAGUGGUUGCAAGGGUGAUGGUUUGCUGGUGGGGUUGAUGGGGGUGGAGAAGGGGGUGGCAGCAUAGGUGAUGGUAAGCGUAAGGGUUUACUGUUGAGGUUGGUGAGGGUGGUGGCUGUUGGUAUAAUAAUUUGGUGGUGAUUGUUGGUGUUAGUAAUUACUUAGAUCUUAGUAAGUUAGAUUUAGUUUGAUUUUUUAGUAAGUUAGAUUAUUACCGGUAACCUGUAUUUAUGUUUAAAGGUAGGAGUAUAGCAGGUUUUUCAUAAGCCUAUUCUUAGCAUAUGAGGAAAUCAAACAUUUGUUGCUAAUAAUUGUUAAUCUCCAAAAUAUCAUUUGUUGCAAAAAUGUAGUAUACUAUCAAUCUAUCAUAGUCAUAUGAGGAAUCAUCAUGAUAAAUAUGCCACCAACAAUCAUCUAAGGUGCCACCAUUAGUAUAUGCCUCCUUAUUGUAUGGCAUACUAGCAUGUUAGGAACUAGUAUAGAUGAAAAGUGAUGAACGCAUGAUUAGGGAAGGAAGUUUGAUUAAGAUAUGUAAUUCGGGAAAAUUUUCUGAGCGGUGACUUGAGGUUUCAUACUUCCUCCGAUUUUUUAGUUGUGGUACAUUAAUUAAAAAGCUCUGAUAUUUUUGUCAAAGUAUCACAACAAUAGCGACAAGAAUAGCAACAUCAAAAGAAAAAAACCGAGGAAGUAUAAUUAUAUGGCCUAUGAUAAAAUAUAUAGUGAAAUACAAUUGCGGGAAACAGAGGUUUUUUAAAGACAUUUCAAUCCAAGAUAAAUAUUUAGCACAGAACCCUUGCUAUUAUUAAAAUUAUUUAAUAGGUGCUAAAGCCAAGUAGUUUUAAAAACCAAUGUAAAAGCCUACUUAACUUAAAAAAAAGAGCCAACAUAUACUGUAAAUUUGUGUGAAAAAAAGAAUUUAAAGAGUUGAGAAGAUCAAUUAGAUUAUCAUGUGGCCGAAGGAAAAGAAAAAUAAGAUUGAAAAGGAAAUUGUGGUUAACAACUCAAAUAAAAAAAAAUUAAAAAAAAAAAGAGGAAAGGAAAACAGUAUAAGCUGUCAACCACACUACUAGCCUACUAGGCGUCAUAUGAAAUUUUUAUGUUUUUUAAAGUCACGUGAAUAAAAAAAGUGUUGUAAGAGAGAGAAAAACAAGAAAUGGUAAGGCAUUCCUUUCUUCAUUCAUAACUAUGGCGUAUAAUUUUGUAGAUCUAGGGUUCUUAUCGAAUCCAACAUACGAAUUUUGUGGGUGUCCGAAUUUGUGUCGUGUUGAGUGACUGACAUAGUUCGGUGGCCUUUUAGCCAAGUUCGAGUAACAUAGCAAAUUUAGUAUAUCAAAGAUGUUACAACAACAAUGCCUUAAUCGCAAUAUAUAUUAGGGUCAUAUAGACAUUAUUGCAAGAGUCAUAUACAUAGAUCCUUUCUCCAUUCUUCUUUGACAUUUAUCGCUUUCAACCACCCUCAUCCAAACAUAUUACAGUGGUAAAGAGAGUUUGAUGCUAUAUUACAUGUGCAGUCUGUUUUUUACUCCUAUUUGGUUGCCUGAGUAGUUUGUUUAUGCUAGUGUAACCCCUUAAUUUUGGCAAAAAUGGUCACAUGAAUAUCUUGUCAUUGAAAGAUACAUUACAAAAUUUGUGUAGUCUAUACAUACAAUUUGCAUCCUCCCCUUUUAACUGAAGUGCUAGCAUAGGAAUUGAGAAGUACUUUUGAAAUUACGCCCAAUAAUUUGAGUAGGUUAUGGACUUAUGGCAUGAUGAAGUCCUCUGAGUUAACAAGCAAUUUCAUUAGAGAUGUGAAAUGAGCAUAACAUUGUCCAAUAAUUGCAGUGCACUCAUUAAUGAGAGAUUUGGAUGCUGGAUCAUCUGACCCAAACUUGAAAUGUAUCUGUAGUUACUUAAUUUAGUUAUCAAUUUCAAUGACUUAUAGUAAUACUGCUUGAUUGGCAAAAGACUCAACUGGAUGGCUAAAACUCUUGGAUAUGACCGGAAUCAAAUUUGAUCUAAGUGACCUGUUUUCCAUACUUUUUUCCUCGCCGAGGACUGGGCAUAACCAUAUUGCAUUUUGAUUAUGGGCAUUUUCAAUUAUUUCAUUUCAUUUUUUUUAAUUAUUGUGAUAGCCUUGUGUCACUUCCCUACCUUUUAUAGUUUGAAAUAACUCUUACGAAUAGUGUUUGGACAUGGCUAGCUAUAGCGCACGUGCUAACUGCCCUAUUUUGCACAAAAGGAUGAUAUUUUUAUACGAGGGGCUUGCUUAAUCAUACAGAAGUAAAUGAAUGUAGUAGCCUUAGUUUGAAUCAUGAAGAUAAUAGCAUUUGAUUGAUCGAGCGUUGCUAAUGAUCUUUCGUUACAUAUUUAUUGCAUGACAAUGUAUAGUGAAAGCUUAAUAUGGAGUGUUGAGUGGUCAAUUUUAUGUGUUGCUAAUUAGAAGAGAUCAACUGUUCAGAAUUAGUUUGCAAUUUUAUUCUUUUGUUUAUUCAUAAUUUUAUCUUAUAGAAGCAUCUCCUUGUAGUUAUUUUGUUAAAUUCUGAUAGAAUCAUCUCCGUAUAAUUUGCAUCUUAAUAUAUAUUAAUAUUAUGUUUGUGAACUUGAUAUCCUAUUUCGAUUGAUGAAGUCUCCUGCCCAAGGUCACGUCAAAGGCUAAAACUAAAGGUAUGUAGUUUUGAUUACAAUUGAACUAAGAUUUUUAUACAACAAAUACUCUGUUUAGUUUUGUUAAGUGGUGGAAGGGCUUUUGAUGUCAUACAGUGCUGCCAGAGCAAAAAUAUUAUGUGGAGCCACGACGAUCUGGUCCAGUAUUAUUUUCUUUUGUUGGGAAGCCAGUGACAGGUACAUCCGGGUCUCCGUCCGUGU